GACUCUCGGCAACGGAUAUCUUGGCUCCUGUCACGAUGAAGAACGUGGCACAAUGCGAUAAUUGGAGUGAAUUGCCNAUUCCCGUGAAUCAUCAAGUUUUUGAACGCUUGUUGAACCCGAGGCCAUUCGGCCNAGGGCACGUCUGCCUGGGCGUCACGCU
rnacentral:rRNA from 1 species